rnacentral:rRNA from 1 species
AAAUUGAAGAGUUUGAUCAUGGCUCAGAUUGAACGCUGGCGGCAGGCCUAACACAUGCAAGUCGAACGGUAACAGGAAGCAGCUUGCUGCUUUGCUGACGAGUGGCGGACGGGUGAGUAAUGUCUGGGAAACUGCCUGAUGGAGGGGGAUAACUACUGGAAACGGUGGCUAAUACCGCAUAACGUCGCAAGACCAAAGAGGGGGACCUUCGGGCCUCUUGCCAUCAGAUGUGCCCAGAUGGGAUUAGCUAGUUGGUGAGGUAACGGCUCACCAAGGCGACGAUCCCUAGCUGGUCUGAGAGGAUGACCAGCCACACUGGAACUGAGACACGGUCCAGACUCCUACGGG